ensembl:lncRNA
CAGGUUGGUUGUUGGGCUGGCUGGCUGGCAGGUUUGGCUGGUCUGCUGUCGCUUAGCCCAAGUCUUGCUCUCAAUCUCCAUCUCGUAUCCCAAAUGGCACCCUAUUCCCUAAGUAGUGCACUACUUUAGACCAGAGCCCUAUGGCCCUUUAACACUAGACAAUAGGGUGCUGUUGACUCUGGCUGUUUUCUAGCUGUCUAAGGGGACUUUUCUCAUCCCAAUUCCUUCAGACGUCCAAUAAGUUUUGACUGGUGUGCCAAGAAGAUUGUGAUGCUUCAACUCUUCUGUGUAGUCUGAAGGAAAUUCAUUAUAGACUUAGACGGGCUUAGUUAUGGGAGAAGAGAGCGACUGAGUCCCGCCACACACACACACACACACACAGAGACACAGAGAGAGAAGCGGUGUCAAUGGGUCACCAUGGAAACAGAGUGUAAUUGGUAGAAAACCACUCAUUAAAUCGUCGUGCUGAACACGGGAAUUUAUUUAACCGCUCGGACUCGCUGCACACAAUCCUCUGCUUUAUCAAAUACAAAAUGGGGUUACGUCUCAAUUGACACCCUAUUCCCUAUAUAGUACACUACUUUAGACCAGAGCCCUAUGGAACCCUAUUCCCUAUAUAGUGCACUACUUUAGACCAGGGCCCACCACGGUGUUCUGAUCAACAGUAGUGUGCUAUAUAGGGAACAGGGCUCUAUUUGGGGAUACUUUCAAUGAUGAUGAUAUUGCUGUGGGUUGUUUUCCCAGUAGAAUGAUGCAGAGACGGCUAUUCUAGCAACUCUCAGACUACCUGGAUUGUCUAAUCCAGUGCUGUCCAACCCUCUUCCUGGAGAUCUACUGUCCUGUAGGUUUUCAGCCCAACCCUCUUCCUGGAGAUCUACUGUCCUGUAGGUUAUCAGUCCAACCCUCUUCCUGGAGAUCUACUGUCCUGUAGGUUUUCAGCCCAACCCUCUUCCUGGAGAUCUACUGUCCUGUAGGUUUUCAGCCCAACCCUCUUCCUGGAGAUCUACUGUCCUGUAGGUUAUCAGUCCAACCCUCUUCCUGGAGAUCUACUGUCCUGUAGGUUUUCAGUCCUGACCUAGUUAUUGUGAUGAUGUUUGCGUCCUAAAUGGCAAUCUAUUCCCUUUAUAGUGCCAUGUUUUAGGACCAAGAUCCACAGGGCUUCAGAAUCUCCUGAAAGAGCCACAAGAUGGCGCUGUAAUGUUUCAUUACUACCAAAUCCUACUUCCUGUGAUCAAAAUCUAGUUUUGGGGAGGAUAAUCUGACAGCCACCAGUGAUAGGGAACACUGUUACCUCUCUCUCCAUCCAUGGUGUCUGAAUAGAGGAGCAGACUGAAGAGGAGAUUCAGCAACUCUUAGAGGAUAGUGGAAGUGGAUUAAAAAAUAGAUUUACUUCAUUGUUAAACCCAUUUGAGUUUAGGUCCGUUGCCUUCAUCAGUAAUUUAUGAUUUAUUGUUAAGAAAUGGGUGUCCAUCAGCAAACACAAUGACUACUCCGCCACACUGAGAUCCUAUAUGUAUGUAUUUACUUAAUUUAAC